UACGGGGGGGACAAGCGUUGUUCGGAAUUACUGGGCGUAAAGGGCUCGUAGGCGGCCAACUAAGUCGGAUGUGAAAUCCCCAAGCUUAACUUGGGAACUGCAUCCGAUACUGGAUGGCUUGAAUCCGGGAGAGGGAUGCAGAAUUCCAGGUGUAGCGGUGAAAUGCGUAGAUAUCUGGAGGAAUACCGGUGGCGAAGGCGGCAUCCUGGACCGGCAUUGACGCUGAGGAGCGAAAGCUAGGGGAGCAAACGGG
rnacentral:rRNA from 1 species